AGACCUGGUCGUGUGAGCAGUUGUUUGGCAGAUGUUAGUGUGUUUCCUACUUUCAGUCGUCAGCAUCACUGGCUGAGUGGAAAUAAUCUUGGAUGCUAAUUGGUUCGCUAUCUGUGAAUUGGUUGCUUCCUUGCGAUACUCACUACUCGGUCAGUGAGGAAGUGCGUUUGCUGGUCAACGAGCUUUCUAACUGUCAUUACCCUGCGCUUUUCGAUUCGUCGAGUGGCCAGGAUGUGGCUUUGAGAUUGUUCGCACUUAGUAAUCGCGAUGCUGGCUUCCAACGGUUGCCUCCGGCCCGUCUUGAAACACGGACCAAGGAGUCUAACGUAUGUGCGAGUGUGUGAGUGGCAAACUUAUACGCGUAAUGAAAGUGAGGCCGUAUGGCCAUGUUGGGGUCACCAACAACCGACCUUGAUCUUCGGUGAAAGGUUUGAGUAUGAGCAUAUCCGUUAGGACCCGAAAGAUGGUGAACUAUGCCUGAGCAGGGUGAAGCCAGGGGAAACUCUGGUGGAGGCUCGUAGCGAUACUGACGUGCAAAUCGUUCGUCAGACUUGGGUAUAGGGGCGAAAGACUAAUCGAACCAUCUAGUAGCUGGUUCCCUCCGAAGUUUCCCUCAGGAUAGCUAGAGUCUUUAUCAGUUUUGUCAGGUAAAGCGAAUGAUUAGAGGUUCCGGGGAAGUAACUUCCUCGACCUAUUCUCAAACUUUAAAUGGGCAAGAUCCAGUAGUUACUUAAUUGAACUAUUGGGGUCAAUGAGACGACUCUAAGUGGGCCAUUUUUGGUAAGCAGAACUGGCGAUGAGGGAUGAACCUAACGCUCGGUUAAGGUGCUAAACUGCUCGCUCAUCAGAUACCACAAAGGGUGUUGGUCGAUCUUAACAGCAGGACGGUGGUCAUGGAAGUCGAAAUCCGCUAAGGAGUGUGUAACAACUCACCUGCCGAAUCGACUAGCCCCGAAAAUGGAUAGCGCUGAAGCGAGUGACCGAUACCGGGCCAUUGUUGCAAGAUAAUUGGCAACAAUGAGUAGGAGGGCGUGGGGGUUGUGAAGAAG
rnacentral:ncRNA from 1 species